rnacentral:rRNA from 1 species
CCUACGGGAGGCAGCAGUGGGGAAUAUUGCACAAUGGGGGAAACCCUGAUGCAGCGACGCCGCGUGAGUGAAGAAGUAAUUCGUUAUGUAAAGCUCUAUCAGCAGGGAAGAAAAUGACGGUACCUGAGUAAGAAGCCCCGGCUAACUACGUGCCAGCAGCCGCGGUAAUACGUAGGGGGCAAGCGGUAUCCGGAUUUACUGGGUGUAAAGGGAGCGUAGUCGGCAGUGCAAGUCUGGAGUGAAAGGCGGGGGCUCAACCCCCGGACUGCUCUGGAAACUGUACGGCUUGAGUGCAGGAGGGGUAAGUGGAAUUCCUAGUGUAGCGGUGAAAUGCGUAGAUAUUAGGAGGAACACCGAUUGCGAAGGCGGCUUACUGGACUGUAACUGACGCUGAGGCUCGAAAGCGUGGGGAGCAAACAGGAUUAGAUACCCCGGUAGUC